CUUUGCCUGAUGCCUCUCCACAAGGCGUCCACGCGAAGAUCCACAGCCUCCGCGGCCAGAUCUCAGGCUCCGACCUCACCUCCAGUUUUUCAGCCUCCUCCUCCUCCUCCAGAAAUGAUGGUUGGCAUGGAGCAAUUUGACCUGCUGGCGCAGCAGGUUAGAGGCCUUACUAAAGCUGUGCAGGCCAUACAGCAGCAGCAGCAGCCGCAGGCAUCAGUA
rnacentral:lncRNA from 1 species